GGACUGGAUAGGACUAGGUGGG
rnacentral:siRNA from 1 species